rnacentral:rRNA from 1 species
GACGAACCGUGCGAACGUUAUUCGGAAUCACUGGGCUUAAAGCGCGUGUAGGCGGGCCGCCACGUCGGGCGCUGAAAUCCCCCGGCUCAACCGGGGAACGGGCACCGAUACGAGCGGCCUGGAGGGAGGUAGGGGGGGCUGGAACUUCCGGUGGAGCGGUGAAAUGCGUUGAGAUCGGAAGGAACGCCCGUGGCGAAAGCGAGCCCCUGGACCUUUUCUGACGCUGAGACGCGAAAGCCAGGGGAGCGAACGGG